CCUAAGGUAGCGAAAUUCCUUGUCGGGUAAGUUCCGACCCGCACGAAUGGCGUAACGAUGGCCACACUGUCUCCUCCUGAGACUCAGCGAAGUUGAAAUGUUUGUGAAGAUGCAAUCUCCCCGCGGCUAGACGGAAAGACCCCAUGCACCUUUACUGUAGCUUUACAUUGGACUGUGACACGGUCUGUGUAGGAUAGCUGGGAGCCUUUGAAGUGCGGACGCUAGUUCGCAUGGAGGCGACGUUGAAAUACCAGCCUGAUAGUGUUGCGGUUCUAACCUUGGUCCCUUAUCGGGAUCGGGGACCGUGUAUGGCAGGCAGUUUGACUGGGGCGGUCUCCUCCCAAAGAGUAACGGAGGAGUGCGAAGGUACGCUAGGUACGGUCGGACAUCGUACUGAUAGUGCAAUGGCAUAAGCGUGCUUGACUGCGAGACUGACAAGUCGAGCAGGUGCGAAAGCAGGUCAUAGUGAUCCGGUGGUUCUGAAUGGAAGGGCCAUCGCUCAACGGAUAAAAGGUACUCCGGGGAUAACAGGCUGAUACCGCCCAAGAGUUCAUAUCGACGGCGGUGUUUGGCACCUCGAUGUCGGCUCAUCACAUCCUGGGGCUGUAGCCGGUCCCAAGGGUAUGGCUGUUCGCCAUUUAAAGUGGUACGUGAGCUGGGUUCAAAACGUCGUGAGACAGUUUGGUCCCUAUCUGCCGUGGGCGUUGGAAAUUUGACGGGGGCUGCUCCUAGUACGAGAGGACCGGAGUGGACGUACCGCUGGUGUACCUGUUGUCUCGCCAGAGGCAUUGCAGGGUAGCUAUGUACGGAAGAGAUAACCGCUGAAAGCAUCUAAGCGGGAAACUCGCCUGAAGAUAAGAUUUCCCGGGGGUUUAACCCCCUUGAAGGGUCGUUCGAGACCAGGACGUUGAUAGGUCGGGUGUGGAAGCGUGGUAACACGUUAAGCUAACCGAUACUAAUUGCCCGUAAGGCUUGACUCU
rnacentral:rRNA from 1 species